CAGAGUAAGCUGUGUGCGUCAAGUGUCCACGGAUGGGAUGUCGCUGUGGAACGAAACGGGAGACCGUACGGUGCAUAGCUGCGUCCGCUGU
rnacentral:ncRNA from 1 species